AAACAGACUUAAGUUGAUAAGAUAAGAUAAUAUCCGCAGGAAUGACACAAAUAUCAUAUAACCGAAUAUCCAAAAAGGUUCAAAAUCAUAACACAAAACAAAAGAAAUAAACAGGAAGCUCGAGUGCCAAGUACCUCCGCCACCUCCGAUCAAGAACCCAAUUCCGAGAAUUGAGCUCCGACGGAGAAUAAACGAAGCGGUAACACAAACAACCAACCAAAUACCAAACUACUAAAGUAAAGAAACUAAAAUAGUCCUUCAUUUCAUCAGCGGAAAGAGUUUUGAUGUUCAGAGUUCACUUGGCACCCUUCUUGACUGCAGCCUUGGUAACCUUGGCUCCAGUUGGGUCCUUCUUGUCAACACUCUUGAUAACACCGACUGCAACAGUCUGCCUCAUGUCCCUCACAGCGAAACGUCCAAGUGGUGGGUACUCAGAGAAGGUCUCCACAACCAUGGGCUUGGUUGGAGUCAUCUUCACCAUACCAGCAUCACCAUUCUUCAAGAAUUUAGGCUCCUUCUCAAUCUCCUUACCAGAACGCCUGUCAAUCUUGGUCAAGAUCUCAGAGAACUUGACUGCAAUGUGAGAGGUGUGGCAAUCCAGGACUGGGGCGUAACCGUUACCAAUCUGACCAGGGUGGUUCAUGAUGAUGACCUGGGAGGUGAAGUUAGCAGCACCCUUGGCAGGGUCAUCCUUGGAGUUGGAUGCGACGUACCCUCUCUUAAGAUCCUUGACAGCAACAUUCUUAACAUUGAACCCAACGUUGUCACCUGGAAGUGCCUCAAGAAGAGACUCGUGGUGCAUCUCAACAGACUUGACCUCAGUGGUCAAUCCUGUGGGAGCAAAGGUCACAACCAUACCAGGCUUGAUCAUACCAGUCUCAACACGUCCCACUGGCACCGUUCCAAUACCACCAAUCUUGUAGACAUCCUGAAGUGGGAGACGAAGGGGCUUGUCUGACGGCCUCUUGGGCUCGUUGAUCUGGUCAAGAGCCUCAAGGAGAGUUGGUCCCUUGUACCAGUCAAGGUUGGUGGACCUCUCAAUCAUGUUGUCACCCUCAAAUCCAGAGAUGGGCACAAAUGGGAUUUUGUCGGGGUUGUAACCAACCUUCUUCAAGUAGGAAGACACCUCCUUGAUGAUUUCAUCGUACCUGGCCUUGGAGUACUUGGGGGUAGUGGCAUCCAUCUACAAACAACAUGUAACAAACCGCAAUUAAUGAGACAGAACACAAAAAGAGAAGCAAUGUGUAGUCACAUAACAGAUGAAAGAUAUGGUUACCUUGUUACAACAGCAGAUCAUCUGCUUGACACCAAGGGUGAAAGCAAGUAGAGCGUGCUCACGGGUCUGACCAUCCUUGGAGAUACCAGCCUCAAAACCACCAGUGGUGGAGUCAAUGAUAAGGACAGCACAAUCAGCCUGGGAGGUACCAGUGAUCAUGUUCUUGAUGAAAUCACGAUGGCCAGGAGCAUCAAUGACAGUGCAGUAGUACUUGGUGGUCUCGAACUUCCAGAGAGCAAUGUCAAUGGUGAUACCACGCUCACGCUCAGCCUUAAGUUUGUCCAAAACCCAUGCGUACUUGAAGGACCUCUUGUUCAUCUCAGCAGCCUCCUUCUCGAACCUCUCAAUGACACGCUUGUCAAUACCACCCAACUUGUAGAUCAAGUGUCCAGUGGUGGUCGACUUUCCAGAAUCGACGUGGCCAAUGACCACAAUGUUGAUGUGAAACUUCUCUUUACCCAUGGUUAGAGACUGUCAAACAAAUCUGCAAUAAAAAGAACAAUCAAA
rnacentral:sRNA from 1 species